UACGGAGGGGGCUAGCGUUGUUCGGAAUUAUUGGGCGUAAGCGUCCGCAGGUGGCUUAUCAAGUCUGCAGUCAAAGACCGGGGCUUAACCCUGGAAAGGCAGUGGAAACUGAGAAGCUAGAGUGUGGCAGGGGCAGAGGGAAUUCCCGGUGUAGCGGUGAAAUUCGUAGAUAUUGGGAAGAACACCGGUGGCGAAGGCGGCGACCUGGUCUGAUACUGACGCUGAGGUGCGAAAGCGUGGGGAGCAAACAGG
rnacentral:rRNA from 1 species